UACGAGAGGCCCAAACGUUAUUCGGAUUUACUGGGCUUAAAGAGUUCGUAGGCCGCGCGGAAAGUAGGGUGUGAAAGCCCUCGGCUCAACCGAGGAACUGCGCUCUAAACUACCGUGCUUGAGGAACCUAGAGGUGAGCAGAACUGAUGGUGGAGCGGUGAAAUGCGUUGAUAUCAUCAGGAAUACCGGAGGCGAAGGCGGGUCUCUGGACAGUUCCUGACGCUGAGGCACGGAGGUCAGGGGAGCAAACGGG
rnacentral:rRNA from 1 species